rnacentral:lncRNA from 1 species
GGCCCCUGUAUUAGACAGUAGUUUUCCUAUCUUAAGGUGCUGAUGUCAUUACCUAUGAGAUAUUUGUCCCGAAAUGAUGAGUUGUGCCUAACAAAGAAAACUGUUGAUUGCAUUAUGAAAUCAGUAUUUCAGUUGGGAAGAUAUUCUAAUGUCUAAUUAUGUUUGUAAAUUGAAAAUUAUAAAAAAUGGUGACCAGUUUUCAGGUUCACUAGUAAAACUGGAUUUAGCUUGGCAAGUAUAACGGUAAUCCUAAUGUAUUAAAACAAUUGAUAUUAGAACAUUUCUUAUUCAUUGCCUUAUAGUGAAAUUUACAGUUUAAACUUUUUUGUCAUAAAGGAGGAUUUAGAAGGAAAUUCUCUAUAGAUACGCAUUUAUUUAUUUCAUGUGAUUAAUAUGUUACAAAAACCAUGGUCGUAAAUCACAUUGCUAUUUUAAAUGCCGUUUUUAUACAUUUUAAAAGUCUCAUUCUGAAAAAGUUUCUUUAGUUCAUGUUAGUUUAGGUGUUAGGUUGUCAUAGCUAAACUAUGAUUUUAUCCCUUGUUUAAUAUAACUUUAAAUGUGUUAACAUCUGUCUCUUGUUCAUCUACAAUGAGUCAAUUUUGUGGAAGAUGUAACUUCUUACUGUAUAAAGGAUAAUUUUAUCUUUGGGCAUUCAUUGCAUUAGAGAAUCAAGUCAGCUAAAUUCUCCUACUGUUAUAUCCUUAAAACUACUCUUAGAAAAAGAAAAUCAGUGUAAUUUACCUUACAAGGGGGAAAGACUUGUUCACACCUGUGUUUAAUCUGACUCAUAUAAAGAUCAUGUGAAGAAUUUGUAUUUUAUAAAUUUUCAAAGAGAUAUGAUUAAAGGUCUUUAUUUUUUUCUUGUCUUUUCCUCCUGAACACUUAUAUCUUAGCAAGUGAUCAACAUGAUGACUUAAAAGCCUAAUUGUUGGUAAAUGAUUGAGGCACAGAUAAAAAUAUGAUAUCCACUGCUUACCACCAUGUUUUUUGAAAUAUAGGUCACCAUGUAUAUUAUCUUGCUUAAAGAAGUCUUUGACAAAAAGCAAUAUCUGUCAUUGUAAAUUUUCUUGUUCUAAAGAAAGCAGUUAUAUAUUCUGUAGGUG